GACCGCUCCGAUUGCUUAGUGGUUAGAGCGUCUGAUUCGGGUGCGGUAGGUGGCGGGUUCGAACCCUGGUCGAGUCA